rnacentral:rRNA from 1 species
GGUUAAGUGACUAAGCGUACAGGGCGGAUGCCUUGGCAAUCAGAGGCGAUGAAGGACGUGCUAAUCUGCGAAAAGCUUGGAUGAGUCGAUAAGAGGCGUUUAAUCCAAGAUAUCCGAAUGGGGAAACCCAGUAGAUGAAGAAUCUACUAUCAAUAAAUGAAUACAUAGUUUAUUGAGGCGAACCGGGAGAACUGAAACAUCUAAGUACCCCGAGGAAAAGAAAUCAACCGAGAUUCUGUGAGUAGCGGCGAGCGAAAGCGGAAGAGCCAGUAAGUUUUAGCUAGCGUAUUAGAGGAAUUGGCUGGGAAGCCAAAUCAAAGAGGGUGAUAAUCCCGUACUCGAAAGUAUGGUAGUGGAACUAAGCUUACGAUAAGUAAGGCGGGACACGAGAAAUCCUGUUUGAAGAUGGGGGGACCAUCCUCCAAGGCUAAAUACUCCUGAUUGACCGAUAGUGAACCAGUACUGUGAAGGAAAGGCGAAAAGAACCCCGGUGAGGGGAGUGAAAUAGAACCUGAAACCCUGUACGUACAAGCAGUAGGAGCGAGGGCAACCUUGUGACUGCGUACCUUUUGUAUAAUGGGUCAGCGACUUAUAUUUUGUAGCGAGGUUAACUGAAUAAGGGAGCCGAAGGGAAACCGAGUCUUAACUGGGCGUUGAGUUGCAAGGUAUAGACCCGAAACCCGGUGAUCUAGCCAUGGGCAGGUUGAAGGUUGGGUAACACUAACUGGAGGACCGAACCGACUAAUGUUGAAAAAUUAGCGGAUGACUUGUGGCUGGGGGUGAAAGGCCAAUCAAACCGGGAGAUAGCUGGUUCUCCCCGAAAUCUAUUUAGGUAGAGCCUUGAGCGGACACCUUCGGGGGUAGAGCACUGUUUCGGCUAGGGGUCCAUCCCGGAUUACCAACCCGAUGCAAACUGCGAAUACCGAAGAGUGAUACUCAGGAGACACACGGCGGGUGCUAACGUUCGUCGUGGAGAGGGAAACAACCCAGACCGCCAGCUAAGGUCCCGAAGUCUAUAUUAAGUGGGAAACGAAGUGGGAAGGCUUAGACAGCUAGGAUGUUGGCUUAGAAGCAGCCAUCAUUUAAAGAAAGCGUAAUAGCUCACUAGUCGAGUCGGCCUGCGCGGAAGAUGUAACGGGGCUCAAAUAUAGCACCGAAGCUGCGGCAUCAGAAUUUAUUCUGUUGGGUAGGGGAGCGUUGUGUAAGCGGAUGAAGGUGGCUCGAGAGGGUUGCUGGACGUAUCACAAGUGCGAAUGCUGACAUAAGUAACGAUAAAACGAGUGAAAAACUCGUUCGCCGGAAGACCAAGGGUUCCUGUCCAACGUUAAUCGGGGCAGGGUGAGUCGGCCCCUAAGGCGAGGCUGAAAAGCGUAGUCGAUGGGAAACGGGUUAAUAUUCCCGUACUUGGUAAAGCUGCGAUGUGGGGACGGAGAAGGUUAGGUAAGCGGACUGUUGGAUAUGUUCGUUUAAGCAGGUAGUUGGAAAGGGUAGGCAAAUCCGCUCUUUCAUACAACAACGAGACGUGAUGACGAGGCUCUACGGAGCUGAAGUUACCGAUACCCGGCUUCCAGGAAAAGCCACUAAGCGAAAGGCUUUACUAAACCGUACUGAAAACCGACACAGGUGGUCAGGUAGAGAAUACUCAGGCGCUUGAGAGAACUCGGGUGAAGGAACUAGGCAAAAUAGCACCGUAACUUCGGGAGAAGGUGCGCUUACAGUAAUUGUAGUCCCUUGCGGAUGAAGGUGAAGUAAGUCGAAGAUACCAGCUGGCUGCAACUGUUUAUUAAAAACACAGCACUCUGCAAACACGAAAGUGGACGUAUAGGGUGUGAUGCCUGCCCGGUGCUGGAAGGUUAAUUGAUGGUGUUAUCGAAAGAGAAGCUCCUGAUCGAAGCCCCAGUAAACGGCGGCCGUAACUAUAACGGUCCUAAGGUAGCGAAAUUCCUUGUCGGGUAAGUUCCGACCUGCACGAAUGGCAUAAUGAUGGCCAGGCUGUCUCCACCCGAGACUCAGUGAAAUUGAAAUCGCCGUGAAGAUGCGGUGUACCCGCGGCUAGACGGAAAGACCCCGUGAACCUUUACUAUAGCUUGACACUGAACAUUGAAUUUUGAUGUGUAGGAUAGGUGGGAGCCUUUGAAGCAGUGACGCCAGUCAUUGUGGAGGCGACCUUGAAAUACCACCCUUUAACGUUUGAUGUUCUAACGAAGUGCCUGAAACGGGUACUCGGACAGUGUCUGGUGGGUAGUUUGACUGGGGCGGUCUCCUCCCAAAGCGUAACGGAGGAGCACGAAGGUUUGCUAAUGACGGUCGGACAUCGUCAGGUUAGUGCAAUGGUAUAAGCAAGCUUAACUGCGAGACAGACAAGUCGAGCAGGUGCGAAAGCAGGUCAUAGUGAUCCGGUGGUUCUGAAUGGAAGGGCCAUCGCUCAACGGAUAAAAGGUACUCCGGGGAUAACAGGCUGAUACCGCCCAAGAGUUCAUAUCGACGGCGGUGUUUGGCACCUCGAUGUCGGCUCAUCACAUCCUGGGGCUGAAGUAGGUCCCAAGGGUAUGGCUGUUCGCCAUUUAAAGUGGUACGCGAGCUGGGUUUAGAACGUCGUGAGACAGUUCGGUCCCUAUCUGCCGUGGGCGUUGGAUGAUUGAUUGGGGCUGCUCCUAGUACGAGAGGACCGGAGUGGACGCAUCACUGGUGUUCCAGUUGUCUCGCCAGAGGCAUUGCUGGGUAGCUAAAUGCGGAAGAGAUAAGUGCUGAAAGCAUCUAAGCACGAAACUUGCCAAGAGAUGAGUCAUCCCUGACUUUAAGUCAGUAAGGGUUGUUGUAGACGACGACGUAGAUAGGUUGGGUGUGUAAGUGUAGUGAUACAUUGAGCUAACCAAUACUAAUUGCCCGAGGCUUAACCAU